AAGGAGACGAACCUCGUGAAUGAAACAGUCAGGUUUUCCAUGGAGUAUACUGAUGCAAGUCCUAUCGAUGAGUAUGGGUGAAAACUCCAACAACGCAGCUGGGCUUCUACCAAAUCCUGUCGCUGAUCCUCAAACUGGAAUGCGGGGAUUAAUAAACUCCAUACUACUCAUUCAUGGGCGUUCCUCGAAGUCAAUGUUAUUCCAC